rnacentral:rRNA from 1 species
UACGUAGGUGGCGAGCGUUGUCCGGAUUUAUUGGGCGUAAAGCGCGCGCAGGCGGUCGCGUAAGUCUGCUGUGAAAUCUCCCUGGCUCAACCGGGAGGGGGCGGCGGAGACUGCGGGACUGGAGGGACCUAGAGGCCGGUGGAAUUCCCGAUGUAGUGGUGAAAUGCGUAGAGAUGUGGAGGAAUACCGAUGGCGAAGGCAGCCCCCUGGGCCAAUACUGACGCUCAUGCACGAAAGCGUGGGGAGCAAACAGG